rnacentral:lncRNA from 1 species
UUUAUUAGUGUUUUUGGUUUUUAGCCUUUCAUGAUAGAGAAGAGACAAAAUACCCGAAGAAAAACAUUAGUGUUAAACAUGAAAAAAGUUAUCUUUCAAAAUCAUGUAUCACAGAGGUUCAUAGACGUUUAGAAAAUGUACCAAAUUGCGUCAAGAAAUGAUAAAUUUGUCUCCAUAGAGAUUGUGAUCAAUCGAUAAAAUCAUCAAUUAUAAUUAUACAAUUAAGUGAUAGCUUAAGGAGGGGAGUUUUAUAAUAGUUUGGUUUGCAGAUUAAAAUUAAAGUGAUUAAAGCAGGUGAUUAAAAACCACAAGGGUUGUUUGAAUCACUAAUUAAUUACCAUAUAUUCAAGAGAAAAAUAGAUCAAUACCUAAGGGUCCGUUUAUGAAAUAAAGUACCUUAAUCCCUUAGGUAAAACUAAUGUUAUCAAAAUCUUGAAAGCACAACAUAUUCCAAGUAACACUUAGUAAUCGAAUAUCCAUAAAACAAUUAUCUUGUGAAUUAUGUCUUAGAUUAAUUCAAUAGCGAUCAAGUAGAGAAAGUCAUUUAGCGAAAUAAUUACUUGACAAAUAUAGGUACCAAUUUCAUAAACUCAUAAAUUACAUAUGGAUCAGAUAGUUUCAAAGAGGUUCAUUAACAAACCUAAUUAAAAUUUCGAAUUUUAG